rnacentral:rRNA from 1 species
AUCUUCGGGCCUUGCGCGAUUGAAUGAGCCGAUGUCGGAUUAGCUAGUUGGCGGGGUAAAGGCCCACCAAGGCGACGAUCCGUAGCUGGUCUGAGAGGAUGAUCAGCCACACUGGAACUGAGACACGGUCCAGACUCCUACGGGAGGCAGCAGUGGGGAAUAUUGGACAAUGGGCGCAAGCCUGAUCCAGCCAUACCGCGUGGGUGAAGAAGGCCUUCGGGUUGUAAAGCCCUUUUGUUGGGAAAGAAAUCCAGCCGGCUAAUACCUGGGUGGGAUGACGGUACCCAAAGAAUAAGCACCGGCUAACUUCGUGCCAGCAGCCGCGGUAAUACGAAGGGUGCAAGCGUUACUCGGAAUUACUGGGCGUAAAGCGUGCGUAGGUGGGUGUUUAAGUCUGUUGUGAAAGCCCUGGGCUCAACCUGGGAACUGCAGUGGAAACUGGACAACUAGAGUGUGGUAGAGG